UACGAGUGCCUCAAGCGUUAUCCGGAAUCAUUGGGCGUAAAGGGUGUGUAGGUGGUCUUGUUAGUCUUUUGUUAAAUUCUUCGGCUUAACCGGGGGCAUGCAAAAGAAACGGCAAGACUCGAGGAUGCGAGGGGUCUGUGGAACUCUAGGUGUAGCGGUGAAAUGCGUUGAUAUCUAGGGGAACACCAAAAGCGAAGGCAACAGACUGGAGCAUUCCUGACACUGAAACACGAAAGCGUGGGUAGCGAAUGGG
rnacentral:rRNA from 1 species